UUUCAACCUUGCAACCAUGAAGUUGCUAACUUUUCAAAAAUGGAGACAAUCGGAAAUCAUGAAUUUAAUGGAACAAAUGGUGGAUCCAAAAAUGAAUUACAAUUCCAUACCGGUUUGUGAGGAACAUGAUAACGGUGGCUAUGAUUUUCGCAUUCAGGUUAAUACCACCGAAAAUACGUCUCGUUAUGUUAUCUUCUCGCAGGAU